UUGGCUAAUGUGUCUUGGCUUAUGUGUCUCUGCUAAGGUGUCUUGGCUAAGGUGUCUUGGCUAAUGUGUCUUGGCUAAUGUGUCUCGGCUAAUGUGUCUUGGCUAAGGUGUCUUGGCUAAGGUGUCUUGGCUAAUGUGUCUUGGCUAAUGUGUCUUGGCUAAUGUGUCUUGGCUAAGGUGUCUUGGCUAAGGUGUCUUGGCUUAUGUGUCUCGGCUAAUGUGUCUUGGCUAAGGUGUCUUGGCUAAUGUGUCUCGGCUAAUGUGUCUUGGCUAAGGUGUCUUGGCUAAGGUGUCUUGGCUAAUGUGUCUUGGCUAAUGUGUCUUGGCUAAUGUGUCUCGGCUAAAGUGUCUUGGCUAAGGUGUCUUGGCUAAGGUGUCUUGGCUAAGGUGUCUUGGCUAAGGUGUCUUGGCUAAUGUGUCUUGGCUAAUGUGUCUCGGCUAAUGUGUCUUGGCUAAGGUGUCUUGGCUAAGGUGUCUUGGCUAAUGUGUCUUGGCUAAGGUGUCUUGGAUAAGGUGUCUCGGCUAAUGUGUCUUGGCUAAUGUGUCUUGGCUAAGGUGUCUUGGCUAAUGUGUCUCGGCUAAUGUG